GACAUUCCUUUAAUUACCCAUACCUGCUCUCACCCUUGGUACUGGGAUGCCAAGUGGGUCACUUCCAAAUCCUGUCACCUGAGGCUUAUGGGGUCGAGUCAGAUGUGCUCAGGCCACUGUGACAUCAGCUGGGGCUCUGGCUCCCUUGAGACCGGGUCAGGCUCAUCUGAACUCUAGUCUCAAGCUUGGCUGUACGUGGCGUCACUGGGGAGUUAUUUAUUUAUUUUACCAAAUCCAGGACCCUGAUGAAAAGACUGAGGAAAAUGCUGCCUUUCCUGAAUGGCUACCAGGCAGGGAAUGAUGCUGGGAAGUGUUUACCCCACAGGCUCUGUGCCUUCUCUGACUGGGCAGCUCAUGCUGUAUGCAUGGAGGCAUCAUUACCAAACACACCUCUGAGGCCAGCGGCCAGCGUCUGACUCACAAGCCAUGACUGCCCCACCUUCUUACAACAACAAUAGCAGUUUC
rnacentral:lncRNA from 1 species